AAAAUUCCUAUAAGAAUUUGGGACAAAAUUCCUAUAGGAAUUUUUCCUAUAGGAAUUUUUCCUAUAGGAAUUCCUAUAGGAAUUCCUAUAGGAAAAAUUCCUAUAGGAAUUUUGUCCCAAAUUCUUAUAGGAAUUUUUCCU